rnacentral:rRNA from 1 species
AGUUCGGUGUUGUCGGCGACCGGCGACGGGUGCGUAAUGCGUAUGUAACUUGCCUUGUACUGGGGCAUAGCUCCUAGAAAUAGGAAUUAAUACCCCAUAUUGUCUUUUUUUCGCAUGAAAAAAAGAUGAAAGCUCCGGCGGUACAAGAUAGGCAUACGUCCUAUUAGCUAGUUGGUGAGAUAAUAGCUCACCAAGGCGAUGAUAGGUAGGGGGUCUGUGAGGAUGUCCCCCCACACUGGUACUGAGACACGGACCAGACUCCUAAGGGAGGCAGCAGUAAGGAAUAUUGGUCAAUGGACGCAAGUCUGAACCAGCUAUGCCGCGUGCAGGAUGAAGGCCUUUUGGUUGUAAACUGCUUUUAUGUGAGAAAAAUAAAUCCCUGCGGGGACUAAUGAUGGUAUCACAUGAAUAAGCACCGGCUAACUCCGUGCCAGCAGCCGCGGUAAGACGGAGGGUGCAAGCGUUAUCCGGAUUUACUGGGUUUAAAGGGUACGUAGGCGGCUUUAUAAGUCAUUGAUGAAAGCCAGUGGCUCAACCAUUGAAGUGUCAAUGAUACUGUAAGGCUUGAGUAUAGUCGAGGUAGGUGGAAUUCUACAUGUAGCGGUGAAAUGCGUAGAUAUGUAGAAGAACUCCAAUAACGAAGGUAGCUUACUAGGCUAUUACUGACGCUGAGGUACGAAAGCGUGGGGAGCGAACAGGAUUAGAUACCCUGGUAGUCCACGCCGUAAACGAUGAUCACUCGAUAUACGUCCUUUGGGAUGUGUGUCCAAGCGAAAGCAUUAAGUGAUCCACCUGGGGAGUACGUUCGCAAGAAUAAAACUUAAAGGAAUUGACGGGGAUCCGCACAAGCGGUGGAGCAUGUGGUUUAAUUCGAUACUACGCGAGGAACCUUACCUAGGCUAUAAUGCAUAUUGACACGCGCA